ACGCGUUGCUCCCGAGGCCGAAGGGCCCAGAGAGCUCCAGCCAGGCAGCGGGUUCGUCUCCGGCGCAAGAAGGCUGUGUGACGACACAUCAAGAAGGUGACCACCUGCAAGCCAGGAACAGAGCGCUCACUGUGGAACUGAAUUGGCUGCUACCUUGAUCUUGGACUUCCCAGCUCCCAGACUGUAAGAAAUAAAUUUUUAUUGUUUGAGCCA